CCUAGAAGCCCUGGAAAGAAGGAGAAAUCCUUACAAUGGAAGACACAUCAAAGCCAAGGCGUAAUUUUCCUGCAUUUCCAUUUGAGCCGUAUUCGAUCCAGGUCGAUUUCAUGUCCUUCCUUUACGAGUCGCUCGACAGAGGCGGCAUCGCCAUGCUCGAAAGCCCGACAGGGACUGGCAAAACCCUAAGCAUCAUUUGCAGCGCGCUCCAAUGGCUGGUUGAUCGGCGAAAGCGGCAGCAGCAAUGCGAAAAGACUACGGAAACUGCGAACAUUGGUGAUGACGAUGAUGAGCCGGACUGGAUGAGAGAUUUUGUUGUUUCAGAUGCUCAAAAGGAGGAGAAACGAGGGAAGCGAUUAGGGUCGGGACAUGGGGAUGAGGGGAAGAAGAACCCCUUAUCAGCGAUCGAGAGCGAGGUUAAACAGUCUGAAAGUCUCACUGGAGAUGAUGAUGUGGAGUUUUUGUUGGAUGAUUACGAGAGUGAAGAGGAGGGUUGUGAUAAUGUCUGUAGAGGAUCGAAGAGGAAAGGAGCGCGAUGUUUAGAUUCCAGCAGUAGUGAUGAAGAUAUUGAGGAGGAGAAAGAGAAGUCUCCCAAGGUAUAUUUUACGAGCAGGACCCAUUCUCAACUGUCACAGUUUGUGAAAGAGUUUAAGAUGACUAUCUUUGCUUCAGAGCUUAAUCUUAUCUGCCUGGGCUCCAGGAAGAAUCUUUGCAUCAAUGCCGAUGUUCUGAAGCUGGGGAAUGGGAACCGGAUUAAUGAACGCUGCUUAGAGCUGCAAAGAAAUAAUAGCAACUCAAAAAUCAAGGUUCAACAUGAUAAUAGGAGGUCGCUCCGUCCUAAACAUUCAUGUGGUUGCCCAAUGUUGAGAAAGCAUAAUUUACGAAAAUUAUUCAAGGAUAAAAUUCGAGAACUUGGUGCAUUGGACAUUGAGGAUCUUUAUCAACUGGGCAGCAAAAUUGGAACUUGUCCAUACUAUGGUUCACGCGACAUGAUUCGAGCAGCUGAUCUUGUCGUACUCCCAUACCAGUCCCUUCUCCAGAAAUCUUCUCGUGAAUCGCUUGGUCUAAAACUGAAGAAUAACAUUGUAAUCAUAGACGAGGCACAUAAUUUGGCCGACUCACUCACAAAUAUGUACAAUGCAAAGAUUACUUUGUCCCAGUUGAAGCAGGUUCUGUCCCACCUCAAACUUUACCUUGACAAGUUUCAAAGACGCUUAGGUGCUGGGAAUCGACGAUACAUCCUGACUCUGAUUGUGGUAACAAAGUCAUUUCUUCGAUUAUUGCUAGGCGAUCAGGUUGAUGACUCCAAAUUUAGUGCUUGUCUGACUGAAACUGCAGCUCUUGAUGAACAUGUUGGUGAUGUUUCAAUGACCAUAAAUGAAUUCUUAUUUUCUCUUGAUAUUGAUAACAUCAACUUUGUCAAACUUGUUCAUUAUGUGAAAGAGAGCAAUAUUGUUCACAAGGUCAGUGGAUAUGGGCAGAAAGUGAGCUCACAAAAUGGAUUGGGAGAUGCUGAUAAUCAGAAGAUCAGUAUGGAAGGAAGCUUUGUGUCUAGCUUCCAGGCUUUAGCUGACGUUUUACUUCAACUAACAAGUAAAGACAGUGAAGGAAGAAUAAUACUAUCUAGGCAAAGGUUGCCAAACUCAAAGCAUAUAGGAGAAGCUUAUCUUAAAUAUGUCAUGCUUUCAGGGGAUAGGAUCUUUACUGAGAUUAUGGAUCAAGCACAUGCUAUUGUUCUGGCUGGAGGAACCAUGCAGCCUAUUGAGGAGAGCAGGGUACGUCUCUUCCCUGACCUCUCCAUUGAUCAAGUGCAAUUUUUCACCUGCAAACAUAUUGUUCCUCCAGAGAGUAUUCUCCCAAUUGUAGUUGCUUGUGGACCCUCUGGGUUGACUUUUGAUUUCAGCUACAAUUCCAGAAGUUCUCUAAGCAUGAUAGAAGAACUCGGUAGAUUCAUUUCCAAUCUGGUGGCAAUAGUUCCUGAGGGGAUGGUGGUGUUCUUCUCCUCUUUUGAGUAUGAAGGACAGGUUUAUAGUGCCUGGAAGGCUUCAGGCAUUCUUCAAAAAAUUCUCAAGAAGAAGCGUUUGUUUAGAGAACCUAGGAAUAACGUGGAUGUGGAGGUUGUUCUCAGGGAAUACAAGGAAAGCAUAAGUUCUUCAAAUGGGAUUUCAAAAACUCCAGGAACUUCUGGUGCAAUUCUCCUUGCCGUAGUUGGCGGAAAGAUUUCUGAAGGUAUAAACUUCAGUGAUGGAAUGGGCCGUUGUGUUAUCAUGGUUGGACUUCCUUAUCCAAGUUUAUUUGAUGUUGAAUUGAUUGAAAGAAUCAAGCAUAUAGAAUGGCUGGGAGAGACCUCACAAACAACUAGCUCAACCAGCAGAGCUAGUUGCAACUUUAACAGCAGUGGAUCAGUUCAGUCUGGUUUUGAUAUUUUAAGAAGCUGCAAACAAAGAGGAAAAGAAUACUAUGAGAACUUGUGUAUGAAAGCGGUUAAUCAGUCAAUAGGUCGAGCCAUUAGGCAUAUAAAUGAUUAUGCUGCUGUUUUAUUAGUAGACUCGCGCUACAGUUGCAACUCCUCAUAUCAAAAUUUCUCUAAGCCAACCGAUAAGCUUCCCCUUUGGAUUAGGGACCGCCUGGUUUUUGCUACUGGAAGUUAUGGUGAAGUCCAUAAACUUCUGUUUCAGUUCUAUCAACAUAACAGGCAGAAAUUUUGCCGGUAGAAUCAAUCAAUAAGCUACCAGUGGACUGGGAGAAGAUUGGCUGGUGUAAUGAAGCUGGUUUAUGUGAAAUUAAUCUUGAAAAUUCUCUCUAUGGGGGAAAUUUAAUAACACAGCUGUUGUGCUUUGAGGUUUUGUGUUCAUAUGGAGCCUAAUCUUUCAUGGAGAUGCCCCAGCCAUAUCAGGUCAUUAUCUAGUUUAUCAGAUUAUUCAGUCUUCACUGUCGAGCGGUCAUGUUCUGUUGGAAUAGCAAAAGGCUUCUUUGAGUUUGAUCUAGAGGAGGAUAUUUUCAUUUAUUUUACUUGAUGGGAUAGUAUUUUCUGGUUCAGGCAAUGAAAUUCUAGAUCUACGCCCUUUUUCUCAUGGGCUUGAAGAUAACAAACUCUACUCAGAGAUAAUUUGGAAGGUACACUUGAAAUAUGACGUGUGUUGGCAGGCUUCAAAGGAUGGCAAGAAUACUUGUUGGCAGCUGCUAGAGCUUUUCCCUGUAUGGCAGAAUUACUGGAUAACUGCAGAAAUUGAUGAAUUGUAUUUGUCGUCUCAGCAUAUAAAGAAGCACGCAGACAGCAGGGUAUCUAUUGGUUGAAUUCUUGGGAUUUUACAUAUUGUAUUUAAUAAUUAUUUUUUCAAAUUAAAACCUGCUAUAACAUUUGAAUUCUUUUUAUAGCUAGUAGUUGUUUAAUUCAUCCUUACUUUUCACCUUUUGAAGCUUCUCCACAAUUUCAUAUAGACCUGCAUAUCUUGUACUUUAUAUGACUUCUAUUUGAAAUUUUAAAAGUUAGUAUUAUGGAAAUAAUAGUCCACAAUAAUGUUAUGGUAUA